rnacentral:rRNA from 1 species
UACGGAAGGCAGCAGUGGGGAAUAUUGCACAAUGGGCGCAAGCCUGAUGCAGCCAUGCCGCGUGUAUGAAGAAGGCCUUCGGGUUGUAAAGUACUUUCAGUCGUGAGGAAGGUGUUAAGGUUAAUAACCUUAGCAAUUGACGUUAGCGACAGAAGAAGCACCGGCUAACUCCGUGCCAGCAGCCGCGGUAAUACGGAGGGUGCGAGCGUUAAUCGGAAUUACUGGGCGUAAAGGGCACGCAGGCGGUUAAUUAAGUUGGAUGUGAAAUCCCCGGGCUUAACCUGGGAAUGGCAUUCAAGACUGGUUAGCUAGAGUCUUGUAGAGGGGGUAGAAUUCCAUGUGUAGCGGUGAAAUGCGUAGAGAUGUGGAGGAAUCCGGUGGCGAAGGCGGCCCCUGGACAAAGGCUGACGCUCAUGUGCGAAAGCGUGGGGAGCAAACG